ACUUCACUAGAUGUAAUCGCUAUUCCAUCAACAUCCAAGGAAGUUACAUCUGAAGAUUUUUCACAACAGACACCUAUAUCCCUUAGUGCACACAGUCCAAGAAAACAUGGGUUAAGGUUACGAAUUAGAAGUUUGAAAAGAAAGUUGGAAUUUCAUCUGAAGACUGACAAAACAAAUGUUACAAAUGAAGACUUUAUAGAUUUCUGUAAGGAACACUCCUCUUCGUCAAUGGCUAAUUUUAUUGAACUUUGCUUACAAAAUUCCUCAAGGAAAUCACAUGGAUACCGAUAUACCAACAAAUUUAAACAAUUUGCAUUAACAAUUUAUUUU